GCUACCACACCUGGAUCCCAAGUUUCUCUUUAAGUGGUCUUGAUGGACGUGGGUCGGACAUCUUAGAACCUGUGAAUUCUUCUGUGGAGGCUGAGUCUCACGAAGCUGAGUUUAAUAUCUGUGCUCCUUACUAAAGUACCGACCACCAAAUUGUACAAACUCAUAGUUUUAUAUGAAUGUUGAUGAGUUUGUAUCAAAAUGGAAUUGUUGAUACGUCCUUAAUUUGUGCAAAAUUGUAUGAAGAGAUUGAGUUAUCAAUUAAAACCACGCCUCUUUAUGAUCCUAAAAAUGAAUAAAUAACUAUGUAAAUAAAUAACAAAACAGGCUUUUAAAAAAGAGGUUACUCAUACUUCCAACCAGGGCUGAAACCCUUCCUUUGGUAACGAUGUGGGCACAGUUGUAAAACAGCUGCCACUGACUGUGAAGAUUACACGGAGGCUCUGGACAUCCUUAUAUUCAUGUGUCUGUGACUUCCUGUGACAGGCACUGUGCCAGGGCUUAGCUUCCUACAAAUUCCUACUGUGAGUACACAGUGACCUUCUGUGAAGACCAGGUGUGUCAGCCUUUGUCAGCUCCUAGGAGACACAGGAUCUCUGAGUUUAAGGCCAGGAGGUCAGUCCUGUAUUUCCACCAUGUCCAUCAAGGGGUAGGACUUGGAGGGCUGUGUACACACUGAGCCAUCUUUCCAGCCCAUCUCCUGAUCUUUUUCUUUUCUUUGUGCUCUCUCUCUCUCUCUCUCUCUCUCUCUCUCUCUCUCUCUCUCUCUCUCUCUUUCUCUCUGUGGGGCAUGGGGGUGGGGUUGCAGGCUGUCUUUGUUUACCCAGGACAGUCAUGAAUCAUAUUCUGUAGAGCAGGCUGACCUUGAACUCAUAGAGAUCCACCUGCAUCUGCUUUCCUAAUGCUGGAGAUUGAAACCCUGUGCCCACACCACCCAGACUCAUGACCAUUCUUCUAAGACAGCUUGUAUGAAUUACUUUUUGCAUUCAAAAGAAUGACCUUCCAUGCUGGGAAAUGAUAAGCGAUGGCUCAGUGGUUAAAACUGAUUGCCCUGCAAGCAGAACAUGAGUUCAGAACCUAGCAACCAUGGAAAGAGGUGGCCAUGGUCUUCUCACUUCUCAUUACCCCAGCCCUGUUAGGGUACCUCAUAAACUAGAGGCCUGCUGGCUGACAGCCUGGCUAGAGACAAAGAGUUAGGGUCAGGUAAGAUGCUCUAUACCUUAGAAGUAUGGUUAGCUAUUCAUUGAGCAUUAUUAGGUUUACUAUUUAUUUAUGCUUCAACUAAGUGUCUGGGAAUGGACACUGCUAUUUUGGGCCUUUCUUAAUUAUCAUUAGCAUGUCUCCAUGUCUGCAGGUACAAGUGUGGUUAUCGGAGAGCAACUCUUGGUAUUGUUUCUUUCGCCAACUGCAUUUACUGACUAAUGUCUACCCAUAAUGACAUCUUUCUCACGGCUUUGACGCUCAUCUGUCCUUGGAUGGGCCUGGCUUGCUUAUUAUACCCCAGGGAGAACAUCUCCAUCUACAUGGAUUUCUUAAAAAAAUUGGGCAUGUGGGGCUGUUCUUUUUUUAAGGUCCUAUUCCCCAUUUGAUUCUUGAUCUGUAAAUAAAAAAAGCCAUGGGCCAAUUGCUGGUCUGAAGAUACUCAUGGAACUUCUGGUUCCUGGGAGGAAAAGGGGACACCAGGAAGCAAAGAUGGAGUUCCCCAUGCUCUACAGCGUGUACCCAGUAGUUCCUAAAGAAAACGUCUGGGCCAUGCUGAGGUCUGUGGUCCCCGCUGAUGCUGAAGGCCAUGUGGAUGUCCGGGAUCCAUGUUGCAACUGACUGUAAAAGAAGCCAAAUGAAGCAGCAAGGAGGACUUCUCUCAGUACUCCUGAAAAGAACGAGAUACAGAGCCACAAACCGGAAUGGAGACAGUCUGAGGCAGACAGGCAAUGGGGGGAAGAGAUCUUGAGCAUGCAUGGUGAGAAGACAGUCAACCUGGGAACACCAUCUAUGAAAGGAGGGGGAACUCGGAAAUCCCAGCAAAUGGGAGGCAGAGGCAACAGGGUUCACAAGUUUAAAGUCAGUCUGCAGACAGAGCUUCAGGUCAAGACACCAACACAAUGACAGCUUGUCUCCAAAAAGCAAAACAAACAAACAACCGAAAAAUGAAAAAAUAAAAAUAAAAAAACCAC